AAUAGAUACCCGGGUAGUCCACGCCGUAAACGAUGAGUGCUAAGUGUUAGAGGGUUUCCGCCCUUUAAUGCUGCAGCUAACGCAUUAAGCACUCCGCCUGGGGAGUACGGCCGCAAGGCUGAAACUCAAAGGAAUUGACGGGGGCCCGCACAAGCGGUGGAGCAUGUGGUUUAAUUCGAAGCAACGCGAAGAACCUUACCAGGUCUUGACAUCCUCUGCCAACCCUAGAGAUAGGGCGUUCCCCUUCGGGGGACAGAGUGACAGGUGGUGCAUGGUUGUCGUCAGCUCGUGUCGUGAGAUGUUGGGUUAAGUCCCGCAACGAGCGCAACCCUUGAUCUUAGUUGCCAGCAUUCAGUUGGGCACUCUAAGGUGACUGCCGGUGACAAACCGGAGGAAGGUGGGGAUGACGUCAAAUCAUCAUGCCCCUUAUGACCUGGGCUACACACGUGCUACAAUGGAUGGUACAAAGAGCUGCGAACCCGCGAGGGUAAGCGAAUCUCAUAAAAGCCAUUCUCAGUUCGGA
rnacentral:rRNA from 1 species